GAAUAAUUUAAUUUCAGACUUCUUUCAUACACAGGACCUGGGAGGCCCUACCUAGACCUAGACAUCUAGUAUUAAUUAUAGGACAUAUGGUCCUUGUUCAGAUAGAUUGAUAAAGGCCCACUGUUAUAACCUUUGACCCGCUAUUGCAAGCCAGACUCCCAUAUGUAUUAAGAAUGUAUUCAUUUAAGCAUUUAUAGUAAAAUCAUUUGUGUAAAUUAUAUUUUACCCCCAAGUAUUACCAUUUUUAUAAAUACACAAAAACAAGUCUUGUGCUCAAACUCCCACUACUCUUGGGUGGCAGCAACGACCAUAGCACACAUAGCAGCCCCAAUACAUAAAGUAAAAACCAAAGGGAAAAAAGUUAACCAUUUUUAUAAUGCAUGGCUUUAAUCAUAGAUUGGACAGAAUGGUUAUUAAGCCACAAGCUUUUUUACACAUUUUAAAGGUUUAAAUAACCUUAUCUUUAUGUGUACGCCUCCUAAUUUCAUACUUAGACAAAUUUUUACAUCAAGCCUGUGUUGCCACAACAGCAGUCACACACAUAAUAUCAUUGUACAUUUCCUAACAUGGCAAGUAGAGGGUGUGCACAAUUUUAUAAUAUGGAGCAGAAAUGGUAGGCAUAGUAUAGUUUUAAAGUAUAUGACAUAGGCACCUGCUUGGUCUAUAUAUGCUUACAGUUCUGGCAUGGUAACAAUAGAAAGAAAAAGUGAUGGCAGCUUAACAGAACUAAAACAUUGCAAAAUAUAACAGUUAAAGUGUUAAGAUUGUUUUUAACCUGCUAACCUAUGUAAAUACAAUGCACAAUUUUACAAUAGUAUGAAGAAUGGUUUUAUUAAAUCGUUUUCCUGGCACUGCAGGUCCCCUCCCACCCCCCAUCUCAUACUGCUGAAGUGGUGAAAACCCCUUCAGUGACUUACCUGAGACCACCAAUAUUUACAGUUGCAGGGUUAAGGGUAGUGGGAGUUGGCACCCAGACCACUGCAAUGGGCAGAAGUGGUCUGGGUGCCUGGAGUGUCCCUUUAAGCUAGAUAACUGAAGAAGCUGGCAUGAGGUCCCCGUCUACUAAGUGAUAAGUGAUUUACCAAUUAUCAACAAAACAGUUGUGAGGAGAUUGACUUUGCUGAUUAUAGGCAGAAUUAACCUUCAAAUUGCUCCUUCACAUCAAAAGAGAGAUACCUAGUCAACUGCAUAUCAUGAGAAGUAUGAUAUCAUAGUGUUGUAAAUAUACUGCAUAUAGUGGCCACUAGAUUGACAUAUAUGGUUGCAUUAAAACGAUGAAAACAAAAUUUUAAAAAAGGUCGGCAGCAGUGAGUUAAUGACAAGGAUGUCACUGGUGGGUGGUCUACUGUCCUACUUUUGUUAAACCUAAUUGUAGAAGGCAUGCAUCUAGCGAAGGUUUGACUUAAGAAGACUUAACUCUACUCCCUAUGCCAUGACACAGAUAACCCGAUUCCCUUGAUCCCUGCAUAUUGAAGGCCCAGUCAGACAACUCUGCUGGCCCCAGGUCUCUAAAUGGGCCCAUGUACGGAUCCCACUUCUACGGCUGCUCCUGGCGUCAUAAACGACAUUGCCCCUGGAGGCAGUGAAUUUGGCUUGAGGGCGCUGGUAAUUCCUCCAGUGAUGUGCGACUUGCACCGGGGGUGUUCCCCUCGUGGCCAUCAACUGCCUGGUACCUGGGCAAGCACGGUGCACUCAAGACUUCCACUUCUGUCUUCUCAGGCCCGUAUGCGCAGUGGUUGUCUUUGGAGCUGAGCCAGACUCAAGAUGCCGGUUUGCUGGAGGUGAGUAGUGUGAGUGAGUGCUCUGUUUCUUCUCCCCACCAUUGCCCAGUCGAUUGUUAAGCUUCGUCCUUAAAUUAAAAAAUAUUGCAUCCAGUCGCCUUGUAGUUAUCUCUAGCGGGCUUUAAAGGGUGGGUGUCUGCGGUGCGUCUGCCAUCUUAAUUAGGCAGCAUGGCAGGCCUCUUU